AUUGAACGCUGGCGGCAGGCCUAACACAUGCAAGUCGAACGAGUGGCGGACGGGUGAGUAAUGUCUGGGAAACUGCCCGAUGGAGGGGGAUCACUACGGGAAACUGUCUCUAAUACCGCAUACCCUCGGAUGUGCCCAGAGGGGAUUAGCUAGUGGGUGGGGUAACGGCUCACCGAGGCGACGAGCCCUAGCUGGUCUGAGAGGAUGACCAGCCACACUGGAACUGAGACACGGCCCAGACUCCUACGGGAGGCAGCAGUGGGGAAUAUUGCACAAUGGGCGCAAGCCUGAUGCAGCCAUGCCGCGUGUAUGAAGAAGGCCUUCGGGUUGUAAAGUACUUUCAGCGGGGAGGCGUUACCCGCAGAAGAAGCACCGGCUAACUCCGUGCCAGCAGCCGCGGUAAUUC
rnacentral:rRNA from 1 species